rnacentral:rRNA from 1 species
AGCGAACGCUGGCGGCAGGCCUAACACACGCAAGUCGAGCGCCCCGCAAGGGGAGCGGCAGACGGGAGAGUAACACGUGGGAACGUACCCUUCAGUUCGGAACAACCCAGGGAAACUUGGGCUAAUACCGGAUACGUCCGGAAGGAGAAAGAUUUAUCGCUGAAGGAUCGGCCCGCGUCCGAUUAGCUAGUUGGUGAGGUAACGGCUCACCAAGGCGACGAUCGGUAGCUGGUCUGAGAGAAUGAUCAGCCUCACUGGGACUGAGACACGGCCCAGACUCCUACGGGAGGCAGCAGUGGGGAAUAUUGGACAAUGGGCGCAAGCCUGAUCCAGCCAUGCCGCGUGGAUGAUGAAGGCCCUAGGGUUGUAAAGUCCUUUCGGCGGGGAAGAUAAUGACGGUACCCGCAGAAGAAGCCCCGGCUAACUUCGUGCCAGCAGCCGCAGUAAAAC